rnacentral:rRNA from 1 species
UACCAGACUCCUACGGGAGGCAGCAGUGGGGAAUAUUGCACAAUGGGGGAAACCCUGAUGCAGCAACGCCGUGUGAGUGAAGAAGCGUUUCGGCGCGUAAAGCUCUGUCAGCGGGGAAGGAAGAAGACGGUACCCGACCAAGAAGCCCCGGCUAACUACGUGCCAGCAGCCGCGGUAAUACGUAGGGGGCAAGCGUUAUCCGGAUUUACUGGGUGUAAAGGGGGCGCAGACGGCGAUGCAAGCCAGGAGUGAAAGCCCGGGGCCCAACCCCGGGACUGCUCUUGGAACUGCGUGGCUGGAGUGCAGGAGGGGCAGGCGGAAUUCCUGGUGUAGCGGUGAAAUGCGUAGAUAUCAGGAGGAACACCGGCGGCGAAGGCGGCCUGCUGGACCGCGACUGACGUUGAGGCUCGAAAGCGUGGGGAGCGAACAGGAUUAGAUACCCCCGUAAAA